CGCAGUCAUGGGACACACCAGCUCAGGGAUUCCUUUCCCUAACCAUACACUUCCAAUUUAUUUCCCUCAAUAUUAACUUUCUGUGUUAUGAAUAAUUGAUUGACCAAUUUAGUUGCAGCUCACACUUCCAAAUGAUUCAAGGCAAAUAUGACAUUAUUGGGCAGGUGGAGUUUGCAAACCAAAGGAGGCUCACUGGACACCUGCUUCUCAACAACACGAAGGGAACAUGAGCCCGGACCCUAGCGCUACCGAGGGUGCGGUCAGUCACUGGUGCAUUUGGUUGCACAAAAUCGUCAGAUGCAAGGCCUGGAUAUUCUUUCUCCCUUGUACUGCUCUCCAGAGCAAAAUGAGCUGAUGGAAGAGAAGGACAUUUUAAUACAGCUGAAGAGCACAGAUCAGGCACUUAUUGAGUUUCUACGGUAUACAAGGCAGUGCUCCAGAUUUUUCCGAGAAUACAACGGUGACUCAGGCUUGCGUUGAAACCCCAUUCUCAAGAAGAUCACGGUUCAGUGGGAGGAAACACAGCACCUGCCUUGUUUCAGAACACAGGAACAAACAGAACAUGAGGUGGGCAGAGCCGCGACGUGAGAAAUGGAGGGAACGCUUCUGGAAUGUGGGGAGCACUGCUUCGCCUGGGAGUGAGGCAUCAAGAACACUCCCAGAAAGUUGGAGAUAACCAUAUGAAGGAGACAACUGGAUCUCUCAGCAAGAAGCUGUGGAGCCUCAGAAGCUCUGCUUUAGACGGGCACCGACGCAGGAAAAAUGGGAGCCUUGGAGUGAUUUCUGCCCAACGCAGCUUCAGUGAUCCACGUGGCCUAGGGGGAGCGGCCCAGGACAAAAGCUUACCUGGGGCUCUUUCUGUGAGUCCUGCUGUGGACCCUCCAAGACAUCCAGAGAUGAGGGCUUUCCAGUCCCUGACUCAGUCUCAUUAAAAUAAGUA